rnacentral:rRNA from 1 species
CAAAAGACUCUCGUCAACAGUUAUCUCGUCUCUUGUAGCGUUGAAGAACGAAGUAGAAAGCGAUGAUAGGUGUUAAUUGCAGAAUAUUGUGGACCAUCGAGUAUUUGAACGCAACUAGUGCCCGAGGCCUCCUGGCGGCGGGCGCCCCUCCUCGGGUGUCAUG